AACGCAGCUCAUUGUUCGCCUCGGCUGAACGUGGUGGCAGGUCCCUGCGCUCUGUGAGGUGCAGCUCCAGGAUUCAGUUUCAAACAGAGCUCGUGGACACAUUUCAUCCCUUUGAAACUGAGCUCGAGCCAGUGACAACAAAGAGACUUUCCACCAGUAACCACAGUCACCUGCGCCUCAUCCUGCCACGUUCUCACACGAGGAAGGAAACGUGCGCCUGAUUCGUGGGACUUUUACGCGCGGCUCUCUGUGGCCACUUUUAUCAUGUACGUUUCGCAACAGGAGAGCGUGUCUCACAUCACCUGUAAUUGGUUAAUCAGUUUAAAUAAACGCAUGUAAAUGACUUACCUGACCGAGCGCCUGCAGGUGUGCCGCAGAGCCAGGUGGGUGUUGAACGCGUGCGUACCAGGGAGGCACCGACAGCCAAUUUUGGCCACCGUAGAAAACGCUUUUAAAUCGGUUGAUAAACACUUUUUUUCCUCCCAAGUAUCCCAGUGAAAUCCACCACAAGUCACCCUGGGUAUGAUCCUUACCUUGUGUUAAUCCCGUGCUGUCUCAGCUUGGAGAACUUUUAAAUGACUGAGUCCUCACUAGCUUCCACCAUGAACACCCUCCUCUAACAAGUUCAAUAAUUAUAUCAACAAAACAACAAUCUCAAGAGCAGCCUUACUCUUUUUUCUUCUUCCUCUGGACACCUCGUGUAGUGUCAGGCUGGGACUUUGACCUGUCUCUAUCUUGCUCUGGUGAGAGCAUCAUAAAGCUGCUGCAAACUGUUGUGAAACAGACUGUGCAGAGGUGACUAAUGUGGACAAGUUAAAGUAAAAGCUGCAGAAUGCUGGCCCUGUACAAUAUAUAUAAAUCAAGGAAAUGAUACUUGAAGCCUCUGACAUCUGGGUUGGACAUUUUUAUCGGCUGUGCAGAUUUUACAGCAGUGAGUCCAGUCAGUGUGAAAGAGGGGGGAGCUGAAACGGUGGAUGCAAAAGGAAACACGGUGCAACAUGGCGAUGGAGACGCCACUCGGACCAGUUUGACGUACACUGAUGGCCUUACUUCAGAACAGCUCAGGGAUACAGCGACAUCCUCAAGGCCUACGUCAUUUUCUUCAAACAUCCAUCCCUCUGUCCAUCAUCUAUGUCUCUUAUCCUUUGAGAGGCGCAGGGGGGCUGGAGCACAUCCCAGCUGACACUGGGCAAGAGGCAGGAUACAUCCUGGACAGCUCACCAGUGUAUUGCAGCACUGACAUAUAGAGACAAACAUCCAUCCACACUGACAUUCACACCUACGCUCGAUUCAGAGUCUCAAUUAACCCAGUGUUUGAAUUGUAUGAAGAAGCUGCAAUACCUGAAACUCACGCCGGCACGGGGGAGAACAUGCAAACUCCAAAGAGAGAGAACACAGCCGGCCUGUCAAGUUCCAACCCAGGAGAUGACGGUGCUAACCACGGCUUUCCUCAAACAAAGGAGCAGCAAAAAUCAUGAAAUCCAACACGCAGCCAGAGCAGUUGUGAUAUAAAAAGGCACAGCUAAAAUGAGCUUCUUAUUGUUUUAUCUAUCAGGUCUGUUGGUAACAAGAUGCCUCUUCUGAAAUGCAUCUCAGCCUUAAACUGCUGUCUGUCACUGCACUGCCACUGACUCAUAACUUCAGAGAGAGAGCAAGAUAAUGUAGAUGGUUUUUAUUUAUCAGAAUUAUAUUCUGGCCUUUUAUAGAGACUCUCUUUGCUUUGGUUCCUUCCACUGAUGCUGAAGUGGAGAUCUCUGGAUCCUAUCCUAUAAAGAGCCUGAUUGCGUUCCUCCCAAUUCAUCUGACUUUACAAGGAGGGGGAUGACAUCUUCCCCUGACUGCUGUUUCCCAGUAAAUCACUCUGUUUUGUAAAAUAAUGAAUCGGGGUCAGAGCAAAGUUUGCCGUCAUAAUUAUUAACUAGCUGACUCCACGAGUUCCCAGUCUGCUCCCACCGCUGUUCUAACACAAGCCUGAGACUUCUACCUGCCAUAUCAUCAAACUGGAUUCUGAUACAGUGUUUGAAUUCAGCUUUUAUUCAUACAUAAGAAAAUACUUUUCCACAGCUUUUCCAAGACCACUUUUAACUUAAGGCCUCAAAUAAAUAAAACAAAUCCAAUUGCGUCUGCCUGGAAA